UGGGGAAUUUUGGACAAUGGGCGAAAGCCUGAUCCAGCAAUGCCGCGUGUGUGAAGAAGGCCUUCGGGUUGUAAAGCACUUUUGUCCGGAAAGAAAUCCUUGGCUCUAAUACAGUCGGGGGAUGACGGUACCGGAAGAAUAAGCACCGGCUAACUACGUGCCAGCAGCCGCGGUAAUACGUAGGGUGCAAGCGUUAAUCGGAAUUACUGGGCGUAAAGCGUGCGCAGGCGGUUUGCUAAGACCGAUGUGAAAUCCCCGGGCUCAACCUGGGAACUGCAUUGGUGACUGGCAGGCUAGAGUAUGGCAGAGGGGGGUAGAAUUCCACGUGUAGCAGUGAAAUGCGUAGAGAUGUGGAGGAAUACCGAUGGCGAAGGCAGCCCCCUGGGCCAAUACUGACGCUCAUGCACGAAAGCGUGGGGAGCAAAACAGGAUUAGAUACCCUGGUAGUCCACGCCCUAAACGAUGUCAACUAGUUGUUGGGGAUUCAUUUCCUUAGUAACGUAGCUAACGCGUGAAGUUGACCGCCUGGGGAGUACGGUCGCAAGAUUAAAGCUCAAAUGAAUUGACGGGGUCAUAGCUGUUUCCU
rnacentral:rRNA from 1 species